AGCGCCGAGUGGCGCUGCCGCUGCUGCACAAGUGUCGUAAAGCGCGGGCCCGGAGGCGCCUUGGGCGCGCGUGCGCAGGGCGCUUUCUCCCGAGAGCGCGCGGAGGACAAGGGCUGUGCGUGUACCUGUGCGGCUGGGGAAGUCUCCUGGAUUGCAAGGGAGCCCCAGGUCCCCAGAUACCUGGGGUAAAGUAAAGUUGUGUCUCCAGCUCCUAGCUCCGUGCCUGGCACUCACUGCGUGUUCAAUACAUAUUUGCUACACGGAUGAAGGAAAGAAUGAAUCAAAAGGCAGUGACUGUGGCUGAAACAGGGUGUGAAGCCGUGUGAUCUGAG